rnacentral:rRNA from 1 species
AAUCAACGCUGGCGGCGUGCCUCAGACAUGCAAGUCGAACGAUUAAAGCUCUCUUCGGAGAGUGUAUAGAGUGGCGCACGGGUGAGUAACACGUAAGUAAUCUACCUUUGAGUGGGGAAUAACGUCCGGAAACGGACGCUAAUACCGCAUAAUGCAGCGGCAUCGCAAGAUGACAGUUGUUAAAGAUUUAUCGCUUGAAGAGGAGCUUGCGGCAGAUUAGCUUGUUGGUAAGGUAACGGCUUACCAAGGCUACGAUCUGUAACCGGUCUAAGAGGACGGUCGGUCACACUGACACUGAAUAACGGGUCAGACUCCUACGGGAGGCAGCAGUCGGGAAUUUUGGGCAAUGGGCGAAAGCCUGACCCAGCAACGCCGCGUGAAGGAUGAAGUAUUUCGGUAUGUAAACUUCGAAAGAAUGGGAAGAAUCAAUGACGGUACCAUUUAUUAAGGUCCGGCUAACUACGUGCCAGCCGCCGCCGUAAU